GCAGGGGGGCAGCUACACAUGCAAGUCGAGCGAACCUUCGGGUUAGCGGCGGACGGGUGAGUAACGCGUGGGAACGUACCCUCUUCUGCGGGAUAGCCACUGGAAACGGUGAGUAAUACCGCAUACGCCCUUCGGGGGAAAGAUUUAUCGGAGGAGGAUCGGCCCGCGUUGGAUUAGGUAGUUGGUGGGGUAAUGGCCUACCAAGCCUACGAUCCAUAGCUGGUUUUAGAGGAUGAUCAGCCACACUGGGACUGAGACACGGCCCAGACUCCUACGGGAGGCAGCAGUGGGGAAUCUUAGACAAUGGGCGCAAGCCUGAUCUAGCCAUGCCGCGUGAGUGACGAAGGCCUUAGGGUCGUAAAGCUCUUUCGCCAGAGAUGAUAAUGACAGUAUCUGGUAAAGAAACCCCGGCUAACUCCGUGCCAGCAGCCGCGGUAAUACGGAGGGGGUUAGCGUUGUUCGGAAUUACUGGGCGUAAAGCGCACGUAGGCGGAUUGGAAAGUUGGGGGUGAAAUCCCAGGGCUCAACCCUGGAACUGCCUCCAAAACUCCCAGUCUGGAGUUCGAGAGAGGUGAGUGGAAUUCCGAGUGUAGAGGUGAAAUUCGUAGAUAUUCGGAGGAACACCAGUGGCGAAGGCGGCUCACUGGCUCGAUACUGACGCUGAGGUGCGAAAGUGUGGGGAGCAAACAGGAUUAGAUACCCUGGUAGUC
rnacentral:rRNA from 1 species